AUUGAACGCUGGCGGCAUGCUUUACACAUGCAAGUCGAACGGCAGCGCGGGCUUCGGCCUGGCGGCGAGUGGCGAACGGGUGAGUAAUGCAUCGGAACGUGCCCAGUAGUGGGGGAUAGCCCGGCGAAAGCCGGAUUAAUACCGCAUACGACCUGAGGGUGAAAGCGGGGGACCGAAAGGCCUCGCGCUAUUGGAGCGGCCGAUGUCGGAUUAGCUAGAUGGUGGGGUAAAGGCUUACCAAGGCGACGAUCCGUAGCUGGUCUGAGAGGACGACCAGCCACACUGGGACUGAGACACGGCCCAGACUCCUACGGGAGGCAGCAGUGGGGAAUUUUGGACAAUGGGGGCAACCCUGAUCCAGCCAUGCCGCGUGCGGGAAGAAGGCCUUCGGGUUGUAAACCGCUUUUGUUCGGGAAGAAAUCCUCUGGGCUAAUACCCCGGGGGGAUGACGGUACCGGAAGAAUAAGCACCGGCUAACUACGUG
rnacentral:rRNA from 1 species